AUUGUCUUUUCAAGUGUGUUUAUAUAACUUUAAUUUUACAGUUGAAACAUGGACUCAUAAUGAAAUGUAAGUACUAACUAUAUUAUCCUUGAAAUAAUUAAGGAUUUCAAUUUGUAAGUUAUAGAUGUGAGCAAACAUUUCUUAGAAUGGCUUGUGACUGUUUAAAACUUGGAGUGUUUACAGUCAUUGAUGAUGUUUAGCAUGAUUGGAGUACCUGCUAGUUAAUCAUGUAUAUAUUUAUAGGUGGCAGGUUGAAACUACACCAGGUGUGGCGGUUUUUAGUAUUUUGCUGUGUAUGUUUGUAUGAGUUUUGCUACGGAAUUUUCAAAAUACUUUGUGAAUGCUCAUCAUGCAUGUCAAAU
rnacentral:misc_RNA from 1 species